ACGGUUUAUAUUAUCAUUAUCGUACAUAUUAACUUACAAAUCUUGUCAGUAAUGACAACUGCGUUGUUAUUGCGCGUAUUUUUUUAUUUAUGAUUUGAGUCAAUAAAAUUCGGCGAAAAUUCAAUGUAUCUACAGAUUAUGUGUACAUCACUUUUGACAAUGGAAACACACCAACAGUUCAGACAUUUUUCCCAGUAGAUGGCCUCAUCCUGUUUUGUAAUACAUAGAAUGGUAGCAUUUGCAAAUGCCUCUGUGUAUUAAUUAUGUGGGUUUGCCUGGAUAUUUCUUAAUGCCAGUGGUAGGCACAGUAAUAUAAGUGUGGCAGACUCCAUAAUUUAUUUCCUGUAGAUUUACUAUACAAAUGCCUUCAUACUCAGAGGCUCUUAUUAAGGUAAAUGAGCACAGGAAAUGCUGUACUGCUUCAACAGGAAACUGAAGUUAAAUGGCUCCAUUUGGUGAUGGCGCCAUUUGGUGAUGAAGGAAGUGCUGCUUCAGCAUGAUUUCAUGCCAGUACAGUCAUUUGGAGGUGUUGCAUUAUGAACUGCUGUUGCUACCCCCUAUUCCCCUGACCUUGAAAUUUGAUUGAUUACAAACAUUAAAAAUGUGGUCAUUGUCAAAACAUAAGUCUAUUCUAGAGCCCUUGACAUUUCCUGUUUCUUUAAGGGAACGAGGUUAAAAGUGAUCGAGGUUUGGGAAAAUAUAUAUCUGUAAAAUGGGA